UGCUUUCCCACUUUUCCACCCACGAUUCAUUUACAUCUCCCACUCAACCCUUAGCCCCAAUAUCUCUAUGGAACUGACGAGCAGAAAAAGAAAAAAAAAAAAGGGGAAAAAAGCCUCGGAAUUUCAGAACCCCUGUUUGAUUUGAUCGAUCCUCUCAAAUUUAUAUCUGCACAGUCACAAUAUCAAUAGGUUUGAUAAGGACCUUACCAGAAUAGAGAAUCUGUUACCAAAUAAGGGGGUGGCCUAAACUAGAUUUCUUGGGGUGUGGUUCACGUAGGAAGAUGAAGAGAAACCAAUAGUUGUGGUAUCAAAGGGGAUCUAUUUGAAGAAUGGAAGUUGGAAAGUGUCUAUUAGUUCCACUUCAAUUAAACACAAAAUUUACUGCACCGACACGGUAUACAAAUCAGGUUCACUAAGGGGUAAGUUCCCAUUAAUAUUUGAUAUGUCUAACAUUUUAACAUUUGAUUUUUCUUUUAGUUUCAACAAAAUGAUUUCAGAAUUAUAGUGCAGAUGUAAAGAAUUCUUUUAUGUUAAGUCCAGAUUCUUUUUGGGUCUAUAUCUCUCUCUAUGUUGUUUGAUCAGGUGUAUAAAACCUAAUAUUUCUCUCAACUAUGUUGUUUGUUUGACAUUCAUUGUGUAAAAUAUCCUUAUCUUUGCCUUAUCUUUGACACUAGCUUAUAGAAUUAAAGAAACAUAAAGCAAUCAUCUGAGACUUCUUUUCUGCCUGCGGGUUAAUUCUCGGGCUUUGUUAUGUAAUUCUAUAUCAAACUUUUUACUUAA